GAAUAAUGCUUGCUUCAUAAAAUGAGUUUGGAAUUAUUCCUUCCUUCUCAGUUUUCUGAAAGAGAUUGUGUGGAACUGGUGUUAUUUUAAUUACAGAUUCAAUUCCUUGAAUGUGGAGCUAUCCAGGGUCCCCCUUUCUUUUUGAUGAGCAAUAGAGGUUUGUAUUUCACAGAGCUCAUCCAUUUACUCUAAGUUCGCACACUUCCUGGCUUAGAGUUGCUCCUGAUAGUCCCUGAUUGCCCUUCUGCGCUGGACUCUGCGAUGCCCCUUCUUCCACUCCCAGUGUCACUGAUCUGUGACUUUCACUGUGGUGACCCCAUGAUCCAUGUGGCUCCUCGGUCGGUCUCUAUGGCCCAGUUUUCUCCGUGUUGUGGUCCCUACCCUUCCUCCCUGUGUGCUGAGGACCCUGCCCUGGUGACAGGCACUGUGGCUCUGACCUGCAGGGAGCUGGUUUUCCCUGGACUCUGGGCCGUGUCCUGUGUGCAGGUUUCCUGGGAGCAGCGAGCCUUGCGCUUCCUUUCAGCCUUGCCCAGUGGGACCAGGGCAGCGUGGAAUCCGGGGGCAGCAGCAUGCUGCAUCAGCGGCACGGGCCUCGUCUGGCAAUCGACGCCCUGCAAAGGAGGGUGUUUUCAAGCUCGAGCUUUGGGAGCAGGGGUUCAUGUCUGGUGUGAGGCCUGGUAACAUUUCUCUCCCACCUUGGGGGGUGACUUCCUCGGCGCUGGGCGGCUCCCCAUGCCCCAUGCUGGCUGAGGUCCAGGUAGGUUCUCAGGGGCCCUUGCUGGGUGCGUGUUCGGGCUCCGUGCUGCUUACCACACACCGGGCAUGGGGCUUCCAUGCCCUUUCCCAGCCUGGUCACUGCCUCAAGUGGCAGUGCCCAGUCCUUAGGAAUUCCUGGGGGAGAGUGAGCUUGGGCCUGCUACUCUAGAGCAUCACCUUUCUACUAAAGCCAUCCACACGUAUUCAUGUCCGGGUGAUGGGGUUCGCUGUGAUAGUCCCACACAUGCACACGCUGUCCUUUGAUCAUGUUUGUCCACCUCAGGAAGAGGCAUAUUUAAUGACUUCGAGAACAAGAAUGGAGCAGCUGUUGGCACCACUUCCACAGCACACCGGGAUCCCAGUCGGGCAAGAAGUCCAAAGUAUGAGAGUUGGUACCGUGAAAAAAGGCUGUUUCCAAACAUGAGUUUGUACGUAGGAAACACCUACAGGAAGCUGUUGGAAUUAGCAGGAUGUGAAAAUCGCUCGGGAUAAGGGAAGAGAUUGGCCGGUCUGACUCAGACCAAUAACUUCUGUGCAAGCAAGGACAUCUGUGAGGCCCAGAAGCACUGUUUGCUGCACACCACUUACAGCUCUGCACUGGAGCAGAAAGCACUCACACGAGACCCCCAAAGCAAACACACAGCAGAAGACGAGCCAGUCUGCAUGUGAGCAGGACCUGGGCCACACUCCCCAGAGCACCUGAACAACUGCUCAGCACAACCCGCCAGGGAGAUGCAAACUAAACCAUGAAGAAAGAUCCCCGACCCAUCAGCCAGCACGCCGGGCUGGCACAGUGGGCGUGGCUCAGACCCAGAGCAGCACAAAGGUACCCUGCCCGAGCAGCACUGCAACCACACCAGACCACAGCAGGCUGGCGCCGAGCCUGGCCUCACGGCCCGCACCCCAGCAGCUGCGUGGAUGCAUCUCUGCCCGGGCUCCUGGCUGCGACCACCCUUGAGAGCUCAGACCCCCUCAGACACAGCAGCCUUGAGGUGUGGCUGGCACGCGCGCGGCACACAGACCCCCAAGCCAGGCCUCAGGAGCGGGAGACAAGGCGUGAGCCAGAGCUGUGAACAGCUUGGAGAGGUGCCAGGGCACCGAAGAGGCCCAGGCCCUGGGAUGCCUCUGGCAGACAAGUGUGGCUGCACACGAAGAGCUCAGUGAGGGUUGGGGCAGUCGGUCUGCAGGUGUCUUCCCAAAGGUGGUGAAAAAGAAGGAUCGAACUCAGGACCUUGUGCUUUCAAGGAAGGCGGCAGAACCACUGAGCUAAAUCCCCAGCCCUCAGAAAAGCAUAUCUCAAGGAAACCGGGCCAACCACGAGGAGAGGCAACUGGUGACCUAAGGAACGAACUGUUCUGAGCACAGCUUUGAACCUGUCCUGCGUCCUCCCAGCCACACAGUCUCCUCACUGCAUGCAUUGCCCCAUGGCCUGUGGCACCGUGGCGGCCCGUGUGGUUCCUCUGACACAGCAAGACAGGUUCCCUGGCAGCAUCAACAAGAUGUUCUGCCUGCUGUCUGCAUUUCUGCCUCGAACCUGGAGGGCCCGUUUCUCCUGAGCUCCGCUUCUUCUAGAUGUGGCAUGCGUCUGGAAGCGGCCAGGCCUGAGUCAUAUCCAGACCUUGGCCGUGGACAGUCAGGAGAGAUGUUUUACUUUAAAACAUAACGUGUACCAGAAGUUCACAGAAGCUUUCUCUUCAG
ensembl:lncRNA